GACGUAGGGGGCCAGCGUUGUUCGGAAUUACUGGGUGUAAAGGGUUCGUAGGCGGUGCGGCAAGUUGGGAGUGAAAUCUCUGGGCUUAACCCAGAGGCUGCUUCCAAAACUGCUGUGCUUGAGUGUGGGAGAGGCGCGUGGAAUUGCAGGUGUAGCGGUGAAAUGCGUAGAUAUCGUAAGGAAGACCAGUGGCGAAGGCGGGUCUCUGGACAGUUCCUGACGCUGAGGCACGAAGGCCAGGGGAGCAAACGGG
rnacentral:rRNA from 1 species